CCAUUGUUCUCCUCUCUUUUACUCUCUCUCUCUCUCUCUCCCCCCUCUCUCUUUCUUUUCUUUGAUCCUCCGGCGAGCUUUGAAUAGGGGUUCGUACGUCGGGUCUUGGGCUCGGACUCGAUAUCCCGGCGACGGCGGUUUGAUCGGCGGGAGGUGUUUCCGUUUGGCCUCUAUUGGUUCUUGGUGGAAAUCCAAGUCUUUUCUUGGAUUCUUGAGGAUUUGGUCUUUAUUUUUUGUUUUCUUGAGCGAUUGGAGCUCGGAUUGAUGGUGAUUCUUGAAGAUUGGAGCAUGGAAGGGAUUUGUAAUUCGUUCCUUUAGCUAGUUUUUGGGGAUUGGAAAUCAAGCUUUGAAUCAAACUUUAUUUUCUGUGGUGGUUUAAGUGUUAGGAUUUGGAUGGGGUACAGUAGAGUUUGGAAAUGGAAUGGAAUUCGUGAUAUUUCUGGGUUGGGUAAAAUUUAGGGCUUCUUGCUGUGCCAAAGGAGGUUUAUGUUGAUUUUAUCCUUGUAGAUCGGAUUAAGAGAGACAAGUUUUCUCUUCUUUGCUCGAUUUUCUUUCCUAUUUCGUUCCAGUACUCUUGGAUGGUGGUGGUGGUGGCGGCUUUCUUGAGCGUUUGAAGAAAAGAUGAGUAUAGGAUUGGAUCAGAGUAAUCUGGCUUGGAGGGAUGGAGGAUCGAUCGGAAUGUUCCUCUAGGUUUAAAUUCCAGCGUUGUGGGAGUUGGAAGAUAGGGGAGUUUUAGGUGGCAAGGUGAGAACGUUUAUUGGGCCUGGCGGUUCUGGACCAGGGGACUAGAAAGGGGCAAUUAUUUCACAGGAAGGGUCAAGGGAAAAGUGAUUUUUUCCCCCCAAGUGUAGAUUGGACGACCCUUAAGCUCAGGGAGUCAAGAACUUCUGCAGCAAUGGAUGUGCAGGAUAAAAGUGGAAGACCUAGUCUGAAUCCUCUUCAGAUUCCUGAUAGGAGGAUGUGCAUGGAUAUUAGUACUUCAUCUGCAAUUGGCCAUCAAUUAAAAGAAUCUGGCUCAUCAGGAGAUGAACAUGCAAUCAAGGUAAGGAAACCUUACACAAUAACAAAACAGCGGGAAAGAUGGACAGAAGAAGAACAUGAAAAGUUUCUCGAGGCUUUAAAACUGUAUGGUCGUGCUUGGCGUCGAAUUGAGGAGCACAUAGGCACCAAGACUGCGGUUCAGAUUCGAAGCCAUGCUCAGAAGUUUUUCUCAAAGGUGGUUCGUGAGCCAGGCACUGCGAAGGCUAUUGAGAUUCCCCCUCCUCGACCAAAAAGAAAGCCACUGCACCCAUAUCCUCGUAAAUUGGGCAACUCACCCAGCAAGGGACUUCCUGUUAUGGAGCAGCCAGAAUGGUCUUCACUGCCAGUUCCAUCAGUUUUUGAACCCGAAAAUGGUUCACCAGUAUCAGUUUUAUCUGCAGUAGGAUCGGAUACUACAGGAUCAACAGCCUCGAAUCCAACUCAUGGUUGCACAUCUCCAGCGUUGUCUGCAGCUAGAUCGGAUCUGGUUGGAACAUUAUUGACCGAACAGGAGAAUGGAUGCCAGUCACCUACACCAUCAGUUCAAGAUGAGAAUAGAUCUACAUCACCUGGACCAGCAUCAACUUGUUUAGUUACUGAAGAUAAAUCCCAGAUGGAAGUAGAUUUGAGUUCAAAAGAUGAAACUCCUAAAGAAGGUUCUCAAAUGGAAGUGCAAGCAACUUGCCUGAAGCUAUUCGGAAGGACGGUGUUGGUGACUGAUGCUCAAAAACCAUGCUCUUCUGGUGUUGGGAAUAUGGUACAAUCUCACAAGUCAUUGCCUGCUGUUGAAAGCAGCAGCCACGCUGUAAGCACAGACGUGGAUCUGCAGACCCCAACUAAGCCAGGUCUGCAAACUCCAGACCAAGGAGAUUUUUGGGGUGGUCCAGGUAAAAGUGCACGGAGUCCAUUUAAUGGUGGAAGCUUCCCCAUGUUUUACUGUUUGUCCCCUCAUGGGGAUCUUACGAACUCUACAGAAGCUGCAUGCCCUCCGCCUUGGUGGUGGGCAUUCUAUGGAACUCAACCAACAUUGCCAUUUAUCAAUCCACAAAAUAUGAACCCAGUACAAAUAAUGCCACUAACCUGUAUAGAAGCCUCAGAUGAAAAAGAUAGCCAGAAGGAAGGUUCUUGGACCGACCUUAAUACUUUUGCUUGCAGAGCAGGUACUGGUGAUAAAAAUAGUGAUGAUGUCGACUCACAACAAGGCGUUGAGCAUCUGAAGGAACCAGCACCUACAUUGAGACUAGAGCCAAGUGAGAACUCCGCUUUUGUAUGUCUGAAAAUCAACACAGCAAAAUCUCCUCGGGCAUUUGUGCCAUAUAAAAGGUGUCUAGCUGAAAAACAAGCAAAACAACACUCUCAGAUGGUCAACGAAGAAAGAGAUGGUCAAGCAAUACGAUUGUGUUUGUAGUCAUUUUCUUAACCUCUAUCUCCAUUUUGUUUCUUUGCAGAGAUGGUUUUUGUUUGACAGACGGGGGAGGGAGGGUGUUCGUUGCAGUUGAAGUAACUGCAGGGGGUAUCUGUUGUGAACUAUGAGGAUAUGGUAGAUUGACAGGUGGUUUUGUAGGCAUACCAUCUCUGCUGCUUGUUGUAUCUAAAACAGGCACGGACGGGACUAAGGGCGUGGGAAGCUGGGUCAUACCUUCAGCUGAUGGCAGCAGCAGUCAGCGCAAAUUUUUAUCAUGGCUCAGUGUGGAGCUUAUCAAGAGAGCCACUGUGACUGAUGUUUUGUAAGCUAUAAUUUAGUGCGUGCACGAGUUCCUCUGAGAGAUGCUCUUGGCAAUGGUUUUUGCAGGAAAUUUAGACCAGUAGAACAUUGGGAUUCUGAUUCACAUUGCAGAGAUGUGACUGUUACUCGGAAGCUAGCUGUUUGCCAUCCAGUACGAUAUUUCAUUGAUCUUUUUGCAUAAUAGCUUGUGCAAGACAUCUGAGAGAUUGGCUGUUUCAGGGAAGAUGGAAUGUCGCCCGUGUGAAAGCGCAAAAAGCUUGCCCCUCUCAAUUAGGGUUACGAAAAUACUGAUAGAAUCAUGACAAGAAGCAGUUAAACUGGAUGUCUGAGAAUUUAUGAGCUGAACAGCAUGAGAAAGGAGACGGGAAUGGUUCACGAGUACUUCUCAUCUCGACAGCAGGAUCCCUGUUAGUGAUACCGGAAUAAAUGGGCAGAGAAUUACCACCAGUAAAUUGGAGUGCACCUGAUGGGAAGGUGGUUGAAUGCACCAUGUAAAGGCCAACAAUGCAGCAGGAAUAGGUUCUGUGGAUAGGCACGAGGGAAGGCGAAUAUUCCAUCGUUUGCUGCUUCAGCAGAAGCGAAGGCUGUUAGAACCACAGGAAGGCUAUUGGGAUAAAAAUACUUGACGUUGUCAAGACGCCGGGCGACCAAACUAGUGAACAAGAUGGCAGCCACGAACGUGUAACACAGAUGAUCUGAUAAAUCUAGUAGUUAUGGUGGAAAGCAAGAAAAUAAUUUCAAAAAUUUCA